rnacentral:rRNA from 1 species
AGCGAACGCUGGCGGCAGGCUUAACACAUGCAAGUCGAACGCCCCGCAAGGGGAGUGGCAGACGGGUGAGUAACACGUGGGAACGUACCCUUUGGUUCGGAAUAACUUGGGGAAACUCAAGCUAAUACCGGACAAGCCCUUAUGGGGAAAGGUUUACUGCCGAAGGAUCGGCCCGCGUCUGAUUAGCUAAUUGGUGAGGUAAUGGCUCACCAAGGCGACGAUCAGUAGCUGGUCUGAGAGGAUGAUCAGCCACACUGGGACUGAGACACGGCCCAGGCUCCUACGGGAGGCAGCAGUGGGGAAUAUUGGACAAUGGGGGCAACCCUGAUCCAGCCAUGCCGCGUGAGUGAUGAAGGCCUUAGGGUUGUAAAGCUCUUUUACCCGGGACGAUAAUGACUGUACCGGGAGAAUAAGCCCCGGCUAACUUCGUGCCAGCCGCCGCGGUAA